CAUAGCGCAGUCUACCAUGCAGUCGAGCGGUAGCACAGAGAGCUUGCUCUCGGGUGACGAGCGGCGGACGGGUGAGUAAUGUCUGGGAAACUGCCUGAUGGAGGGGGAUAACUACUCGGAAACGGUAGGCUAAUACCGCAUAAUCCGUCGCAAGACCAAAGUGGGGGACCUUCGAGCCUCAUGCCAUCAGAUGUGCCCAGAUCGGGAUUAGGCUAGUAGGUGGGGUAACGGCUCACCUAGGCGACGAUCCCUAGCUGGUCUGAGAGGAUGAACAGCCACACUGGAACUGAGACACGGUCCAGACUCCUACGGGAGGCAGCAGUGGGGGAAUAUUGCACAAUGGGCGCAAGCCUGAUGCAGCCAUGCCGCGUGUGUGAAGAAGGCCUUCGGGUUGUAAAGCACUUUCAGCGGGGAGGAAGGGCGAUAAGGUUAAUAACCUUGUCGAUUGACGUUACCCGCAGAAGAAGCACCGGCUAACUCCGUGCCAGCAGCCGCGGUAAUACGGAGGGUGCAAGCGUUAAUCGGAAUUACUGGGCGUAAAGCGCACGCACGCGGUCUGUCAAGUCGGAUGUGAAAUCCCCGGGCUCAACCUGGGAACUGCAUUCGAAACUGGCAGGCUAGAGUCUUGUAGAGGGGGGUAGAAUUCCAGGUGUAGCGGUGAAAUGCGUAGAGAUCUGGAGGAAUACCGGGUGGCGAAGGCGGCCCCCUGGGACAAAGACUGACGCUCAGGUGCGAAAGCGUGGGGAGCAAACAGGAUUAGAUACCCUGGUAGUCCACGCCGUAAACGAUGUCGAUUUGGAGGUUGUGCCCUUGAGGCGUGGCUUCCGGAGCUAACGCGUUAAAUCGACCGCCUGAGGAGUACGGCCGCAAGGUUAAAACUCAAAUGAAUUGACGGGGGCCCGCACAAGCGGUGAAGCAUGUGGUUUAAAUUCGAUGCAACGCGAAGAACCUUACCUGGUCUUGACAUCCACAGAACUUUCCAGAGAUGGAUUGGUGCCUUCGGGAACUGUGAGACAGGUGCUGCAUGGCUGUCUCAGCACGUGUUGCCG
rnacentral:rRNA from 1 species